rnacentral:rRNA from 1 species
GACGAACGCUGGCGGCGUGCCUAAUACAUGCAAGUAGAACGCACAGUUUAUACCGUAGCUUGCUACACCAUAGACUGUGAGUUGCGAACGGGUGAGUAACGCGUAGGUAACCUGCCUGGUAGCGGGGGAUAACUAUUGGAAACGAUAGCUAAUACCGCAUAAUAUUAAUUAUUGCAUGAUAAUUAAUUGAAAGGUGCAAUUGCACCACUACCAGAUGGACCUGCGUUGUAUUAGCUAGUAGGUGAGGUAAUGGCUCACCUAGGCGACGAUACAUAGCCGACCUGAGAGGGUGAUCGGCCACACUGGGACUGAGACACGGCCCAGACUCCUACGGGAGGCAGCAGUAGGGAAUCUUCGGCAAUGGACGAAAGUCUGACCGAGCAACGCCGCGUGAGUGAAGAAGGUUUUCGGAUCGUAAAGCUCUGUUGUAAGAGAAGAACGGGUGUGAGAGUGGAAAGUUCACACUGUGACGGUAUCUUACCAGAAAGGGACGGCUAACUACGUG